GAUGAACGCUGGCGGCGUGCUUAACACAUGCAAGUCGAAUGGAAAGGCUCCUGCUUGCAGGGGUACUCGAGUGGCGAACGGGUGAGUAACACGUGGGUGAUCUGCCCUGCACUUCGGGAUAAGCCUGGGAAACUGGGUCUAAUACCGGAUAGGACGAUGGUUUGGAUGCCAUUGUGGAAAGUUUUUUCGGUGUGGGAUGAGCUCGCGGCCUAUCAGCUUGUUGGUGGGGUAAUGGCCUACCAAGGCGUCGACGGGUAGCCGGCCUGAGAGGGUGUACGGCCACAUUGGGACUGAGAUACGGCCCAGACUCCUACGGGAGGCAGCAGUGGGGAAUAUUGCACAAUGGGCGCAAGCCUGAUGCAGCGACGCCGCGUGGGGGAUGACGGCCUUCGGGUUGUAAACUCCUUUCGCUAGGGACGAAGCGCAAGUGACGGUACCUGGAGAAGAAGCACCGGCUAACUACGUG
rnacentral:rRNA from 1 species